GGCCGAUCAGUUGACAACAAUCAACUGACAUUCUCAAAGCUCUUCAAAGUUUUCCAUUUUCUCCUCUCAUCUGUGUUUGGUUAGUGAGAAAACGUUGGAUGUGCACGGAAAGGCAAAACCAUGCUGUACUGAACCCCUCCAUCAUAACAUUUCAGGCUAAAAGAAUGGCAUUGGGGUGUUUGUUACUGCUGUCAAAUGUCAAAGCGGGUCAAAAUUGACCCGAACAGUAUGUAAGGGUUAAGAGAUUCUUUUCUGAUUCAGCUAGUUUGUAUCCGUGCCAUCGUGGAGGUCCUGAAUUGAAAGGGUGUUUCCUGUCUCUCUCUACAGAUACAAGCCCUUCUUCCCGUUCCAAGUGCAGCCUCUGCUGGGUUUGGCUUGUGAUUUGGACCUGUCCGUCCAGGACAGCAGGCUGGUGGAAGGCCGACUCAAAGUCACCCUCAAUGAAUGUAGCAGACUGUUCAUCCUGGGCUCCUAUGACAGAGAAACCUAUGUACACUGCACUCUGGAGCUGAGCAGCCACCAGUGGAAGGAGAAGACUCGCAGCUCCAUCAAACGGGUGGGUUCUCCUCCCUGUUACCAUCCCACUCUACUUCUCUUUACUCCUUUUACCUUCUCUCUGCCUCAACCCAAAAUGAAAAUACAAAUCAGCAUUACCAUGUUCCACCCCAUAAAGGAACCAGAUUGAAAGUUUGUUUGAAGAUUGGACUGGCUUAUGUGUCAUUAGAGAGAUGUUUAACAUUACACAUUUCCCCAAAGACCCUAUCAGUGUUCACCUGAGGGGGGGGGCACUACACUUCAUCAACUGUUAUACUGUAAGAGAGCAGUGCAUAGCGCACAUGCACUAAAAGGCACGCAUCCGGCCGACAAAGCAAGGAGAAACACAGAGGGAGCUCAGGUUUAGUCCUCUAUACCUUUACAUGGAUAAUAAUUGUUUACUGCUAUAUUAAUGCUCUGAAUAUCAAAACCUUUUCAAACACUCAGAAGUGUAACACAGCCGCUUCCUCUGACACAUAUUGGACACUUUGUUUUAUUGACACAUUAAUACAAGCUUAUUUUCAUCAUCCUUGCACUGAUGAGAUUGUCCCAUUGUUGACAUUUUGAGCGGCACAGAACAUUUUCAGGCUCCUCCGGUAAACCUUUUCUAAUUGUUGCAAUUUAGAGAUAUUACAGCUAUCACAUCAGGCUGGUUUGGAAGUGACUAAUGACAGUUUUAGAGUGAAAUGUCAGCUGUAAUCAUUGGCUCUGGCUCCAGCAAAGCCUAAUGCUGCCGCUAUCCUUGCCACACACUUCUGAAUGGCAUUUGCAAUGGCUCAAAGAUUUGUAUUGUGUUGAACAGUAAUUGUUCGGCGCUGUGCUUUCAUAUCAUUUUUAAUGACGUUGGAGGAGUUGGAUCCUCGUCCAGCAGGGGGCAGUGAAAUAUCAGGCCUCCCUCUCAUUACAAGCACAUAAACUCUGUCACUUCUUUCAUCCCAAAGCAGCAGUUCAUUGUACUUUUACAAAAUAUGUGCUCUGGGUUUCUGUUUAUAGUACUAGAGUUCAGAGUUAACAUUUCCUUUGCAAAUACAAACUGAAAUAUUACAAAUAAGUUUAUGCGUAAAAUUGUUGUCAGGAAACAUUGGGUCAGGUUCCAAGUGAAUCAAAUACUACACGAGGAUAGUUCGACCUGCAGUCAGCCAGUGCGUUUCUGUAAUGUUGGCUCACAGUUUGGUUAUUUAGUGUGUAAAAAAAAAAAAAAAAAAAGGGACCUUUUCACACAUGAAAUAUAAUAAACAUAAUAUGGAUAUUGGUUGUCAAGUUUUCUACAGAUCGAGUAGUUCUGUGGUAUUUUUGGUUCCAGAUCCAGUAAUCACACGGAGAAGAACUUUACUCUAUUCUCCUGAAUGUUAGACAGCCCUGAUAAGAUGUCAAAUGAAAGAUGACGUUAUUUAAGAUUGUUUGAUUGUUUUUCACUAUAAAUAUCAUGUGUCCUAUAUGGGAUGCAAUAAAAACAUUAGAUUCCAGUAGGUUUUACUGCCACUAUAGGAGUUUUAAGCAUAUUUUGAUGAUUAUCAAGAUGAAAAUGUGAAUCACAAUUAUUUUGGCGAGGAUAAAUCGUGACAUGCUAGACAGAGGUUUCUAUUACAUGAACGCUCUGUAAUAACAGGACACUUGCCGAAAACCUGAUAUUUGACAAUUCCUGGAGUGGUGAGUUGAAGUGAGAGCAAUGUUGUGGAGGAAGACGAUUGUUUUCUGUUUCUCACAAGUUGCAUCUUUGAUAGAUUUCCAUUGAAUUGUUUGUUGGCCGUCAUGAACAAGGCAGACAUUCAACCUAGCUUCUCAAUCAUCAAUUUAAUCAUACAUUAGUUUAUUGUUAAGUUGUUUAUGUAACAUUUGAAAAGCAUUUUGGGGCGUGUUAUGCCUUUAUUUGAUGGUGAUGGUAGAUAGAGACAUGACUGUCCAGCGUCUUAAUCCCUGAGAAACGAGGGCGCUCAAUGAAAUGUGUCUGUCAAUAUUGUAGCAUGUGAAGGAGAGCGUACCCGGCAUGCCGUUCAACAGUGUAAGAAUAAAUGUUGUAGCUAGCAAUAAUAUUUCUCCAGAACUGAGCACAUGGUCGGUAAAGGUGCAGCCAGCAUCCAGUAAGUAAUGAAUAUGUGAACCGUUCCUCCCCAACACUCGACCAAUACAGACAUCAGCACAGCCCUUUCCAAGUGGACCCACUUCAAAGCACUUGUAUCCCUUUUUUGUUAAUAUAGGCAUAGAAAUGCAAAUUCACAGUGGCAUUUGAGCCUGCUUUAUCAGACUUCUCCAGUCUGCGUGUCCCCUGCAGGACUCUGUAGUACAGAUUAAAGGCUAUACCAUCUGGAAAAGGUCAAUUCACCAUCUCUCUGGCUCUCUCCCUUUUUCCCCUGAUGAUUGCCAGAUAUGAGCUUCCCUUGCUUGUCUUAUGAAUACAACCGCUUGUCUCGUGUAUGCUAAUGGUUUUCUUUCCAUUUCCAUAUCCCCUCAAUUUAAGCACCGAGAGCCACAUACUCCUGCUUUUCACUGUACCAUGUGUCUGUCUUCCCAAGGGGUGAGCCACUCUUAUCAGGAACUGUGUUCAGCAUGUUUUUAGCUGGUUUAAUGUCUCUAUCUUCCAAAAAGGUUACACAGUUAUUUUAUUGUCAUUGUACAGCAGUAUUGCACAACAAAUUGCAGAUUUUACAACAUGAAAAAAACACAUAAAAAACCCAAGAAACAACUAUAUUAUAUAUGGAGAGUGGCGGAUGGGGUCUGUUUUAUGAGGAAGUCUAAUAACCAGCUGCAGAGUGAGGUACUCCGUCCCAGAGUGUCAAAUUUUCCAAUCGGUUUCACUUCCACUCCAAACACUGUACAGUGUAGUUUACUGUGCUUUGA